CUCGGGUGGCUGCUGUGGCGCAGGUCUGAUCCCUGGCCCAGGAACUUCCACGCACUGCCGGCACAGCCCCAAAAGAAAGGACGUUUCCAGUCCAUCCCAGGACAGACAUGAGUGAAACGUCGGAUUCUAAGAACCUGCUCAUUUCGUUCUCACGUCCGUUCAGUCAGGAGAUGAUGAAGAAACGUGGAGAAAAGAAAGCUUGUUUUUUGUUCUUGGAAGUCUCGCAGUGCCUCACCCAGCACGGAGUCUGGUGCACGGCAGAUCCUGUUUGUGGGGUGCAAAUGUGGGAAGAGCUGGUAACCCUACAAGCACCCUUCUGCUGACGCGGUGUCACAAGUCCGGUACACAGCCCAUGCUCCAUACAUGCAGGCCCCCCAGACUCUGAGACGCAGCUCAAGCACACCCAGGCAGCCCCGUUUAAGAAUCUGUGCCCCGACACGUUAGUGCACACGCGCCCAUGCUCACACACAUCCGUGGGCACGGCAGCGCCUGAAGGUGGAGCCUUUAGAAUGAACCCCCCAGAGAGACCCCUGCCUGCCGUCUCCAGGAAGCCCUCGCCUGCUGGGCCCUCCUUGGAAAACGCUGAGGCUUCCUUGCCGUCGGCCCCGGCUGCGGUGGGCGUCCAUCCUGGAAGGAGAGGGAGCGUGACCUGUGGGGACAGGGCUGUUUUAACCCUGGAGGGAAGCAGGACCACGGAGAUCCCUGCGGGAGACGAGGAAGAGAAGGUCGGCAAGGAGCUGGGAGCGGCUCGGAGCAGCCCCAGCGAGACGCGGGCUGGGAGGGGGGGUCUCCGUGUCUGGGGAGGGCACCCCAGGCCUCCUGCUCAGAAUGAGGGCGGACGAGAGGCUGUGUUCGUGGCCGGGGGCUCCCGCCUGUGAGACGAGCAGUCAGGGCACAGGUAAACCACAGGCAGACCUGUUGGAGGGAGACAGAGACACAGGCGGCCCGAGCACCUCCCUCCUGCAGCCCCACCAGGCGGCCUUGCCACCCUCAUCAGCACCCCUUCACCUCUCAGGUGAACAAGCCCCACGUCCUCACUGUCCCCCCCAGUCCCCUCCCUUGUCAUCCCCGCCCGUGCUUGGGCUGGUCUUUGCAAAGUGCAGACUCCAUGCACACUGUGGUGUGUGCAGCGGCCAGGCCUCAGGGACCUGCUGCACAGCCCAGGGACCUGCAGCCUCGGUUCGGUGAUGACCCAUGUGGGCAAAGAAUUGAAAGAGAACGGAUGUGUGUUCAUGGAUCCCUGAUCCGCCUCGUUGUACCGCAGACAUGAUCCUAGCAUUGACCCUCAACUACACGUCAAUAAAACGUU